GACGAACGCUGGCGGCGUGCCUAAUACAUGCAAGUAGAACGCACAGUUUAUACCGUAGCUUGCUACACCAUAGACUGUGAGUUGCGAACGGGUGAGUAACGCGUAGGUAACCUGCCUGGUAGCGGGGGAUAACUAUUGGAAACGAUAGCUAAUACCGCAUAAUAUUAAUUAUUGCAUGAUAAUUAAUUGAAAGGUGCAAUUGCACCACUACCAGAUGGACCUGCGUUGUAUUAGCUAGUAGGUGAAGUAACGGCUCACCUAGGCGACGAUACAUAGCCGACCUGGGAGGGUGAUCGGCCACACUGGGACUGAGACACGGCCCAGACUCCUACGGGAGGCAGCAGUAGGGAAUCUUCGGCAAUGGACGAAAGUCUGACCGAGCAACGCCGCGUGAGUGAAGAAGGUUUUCGGAUCGUAAAGCUCUGUUGUAAGGGAAGAACGGGUGUGAGAGUGGAAAGUUCACACUGUGACGGUAUCUUACCAGAAAGGGACGGCUAACUACGUG
rnacentral:rRNA from 1 species